CAUAGAUACAUUAAAUAUCAAAUAUUUGGUAUAGAAACAGAUUUUAAUAAUCGGUAAAUCAUGUUUAAUGAUAUCUUUCAGAAAAUAAAGUUUGUAUAUUUUAUUCAUAAAAGAUUCACUAAGUUACUAGAAUCAUGAAAAAAAAUUGUUAUAUAACUUGUUUAAGGUGAAGACUGCAAGGGAAAAUUGAAGAAUUUACGGAGAAUAGAGAAUUGAGGAAAUGCAGAAAGCUUCCUUCAUGAUCUUCUAGUGGUGUUUAUAUAUCAAAAUGGUGCCAUUUUAAAGAGAUGCAAUUUUUUAAUGAUGUAAAUGCAGAUCAAAGCACAGAUUCACUAGAUUGCAUCUCUCCUCAGGAACUAUGUAAUAUAAUUACAAUGUAUAAAUUUUUUGAAUAGUAUAUUGAUAAAAUAACUUUGUGCUUUUCAUUAAUUUUAGAUAAUAGAAAUACAAAUUCAAAAUGAAGAAGAAACUACAAGCAACAUGAGAAAAGCAGUUUCUGAUGUAUCACCUACUCUUUCAUUAGAAGAAUCUCCUCCUGCUGCUAUUCCUUCUGGAAACAAUGUAAAGCACCUUCAAUCAGAAGUAUUGAAUAAUGCAAAAGAUAUAAUGCGUGACAUUCUUGCUAGACGGUCACAGAGCAAAGGAUUCAGUGUAUUUGCAGAAUUUAUUGAAGCAAAUCUAAGAGCUAUGUCAUUUGUUCAACAACAGGCAGCAAUGAUAAAAUACUUGCUAAUCAUUUGACAACCAAUGA
rnacentral:lncRNA from 1 species